rnacentral:rRNA from 1 species
UACGAAGGGGGCUAGCGUUGUUCGGAAUUACUGGGCGUAAAGCGUGCGCAGGCGGCUUCUCAAGUCAGGGGUGAAAGCCCAGAGCUCAACUCUGGAAUUGCCUUUGAGACUGAGUGGCUUGAGUACGAGAGAGGUGAGUGGAAUUCCCAGUGUAGAGGUGAAAGUUCGUAGAUAUUGGGAAGAACACCGGUGGCGAAGGCGGCUCACUGGUCUCGUAACUGACGCUCAUGCACGACAGCGUGGGGAUCAAACAGG